AGUAACAUGGUGUAGACCCGAAACCGCAGUGAUCUAUCCAUGGUCAGGUUGAAGCGCAGGUAAAAAUGCGUGGAGGACCGAACCCGUGAGUGUUGAAAAACUUUGGGAUGAACCGUGGAUAGGGGUGAAAUGCCAAUCGAACGCGGAGAUAGCUGGUACUCCCCGAAAUAGCUUUAGGGCUAGCCUCAGGGAAGAUUAUAGACGGUAGAGCACUGUUCUGGUAAGGGGGCGUAAAGCCUACCGACCCUAGACAAACUUCGAAUGGCUAUAAUUAAGACCCUGGGAGUCAGACUGCGAGUGAUAAGACCCGUAGUCAAGAGGGAAACAGCCCAGACCACCGACUAAGGUCCCCAAUGCUGUACUAAGUGGAGAAGGAUGUAAGACUUCAUAAACAACCAGGAUGUUGGCUUAGAAGCAGCCACCAUUAAAAGAGUGCGUAAUAGCUCACUGGUCGAGAGGCCUUGCGCCGAAGAUGUCCGGGGCUCAAGUACAGAACCGAAGUCGUGGCAGGAUGAAUAAUUCUGGGUAGGGGAGCGUUGUGUAUUCGACUGAAGGUGUACCGUAAGGAGCGCUGGAGGAUACACAAGAGAGAAUGCCGGUAUGAGUAGCGAAAAGAACAGUGAGAAUCUGUUCCACCGAAAGCCUAAGGUUUCCUGAGCAACGCUCGUCGACUCAGGGUAAGUCGGGACCUAAGCCGAGGCAAAAAGCAUAGGCGAUGGACAACAGGUUAAUAUUCCUGUACCGCUUCAAAUCGUUUGAGCAAUGGAGUGACACAGAAGGUAGCUUGAGCACGCGAUUGGAAGAGCGUGUCGAAGGUGGUAGGUUGUGAUAUAGGAAAAUCCGUAUCAUAAGACCGAGAGCUGAUAGAUAGACGAUACUUCGGUAGAGUCAAAUUCAAGUGAGCCAUGCUGUCGAGAAAAGCUUCUAGUGAGAGAUGGAGCGCCCGUACCGAAACCGACACAGGUAGGCGGGGAGAGAAUCCUAAGGUGCGCGGGACAACCCUCGUUAAGGAACUCGGCAAAUUGUAUCCGUAACUUAGGGAUAAGGAUAGCCGGAGGGCGUGAAGGAACUUGCUUCCAGAGCGCAAGCCGGUGGCACAAGAGAGGCCCAAGCGACUGUUUAGCACAAACACAGGUGCCUGCGAAAGAGAAAUCUGAAGUAUAGGUGCUGACACCUGCCCGGUGCUGGAAGGUUAAGAGGAGGGCUUAGAGGCAACUCGAAGGCUUGAAUUGAAGCCCCAGUAAACGGCGGCCGUAACUAUAACGGUCCUAAGGUAGCGAAAUUCCUUGUCGGGUAAGUUCCGACCCGCACGAAAGGUGUAACGACUUGGGCACUGUCUCAACGAGGGACCCGGUGAAAUUGAAGUACCUGUGAAGAUGCAGGUUACCCGCGACUGGACAGAAAGACCCCAUGGAGCUUUACUGCAACCUGACAUUGAUGUUUAGUAAAUAACGUACAGGAUAGGUGGGAGACUGGGAAGUCUGGGCGUUAGCCUAGAUGGAGUCGACGUUGGGAUACCACCCUUUAUUUAUUGAACCUCUAACUGUAGGAGUAACGAAACUCAGGACAGUGUCAGGCGGGCAGUUUGACUGGGGCGGUCGCCUCCCAAAAUGUAACGGAGGCGCCCAAAGGUUCCCUCAGCGCGAACGGAAACCGCGCAAAGAGUGCAAAGGCAGAAGGGAGCUUGACUGCGAGUCAGACACGACGAGCAGGUACGAAAGUAGGGCUUAGUGAUCCGGUGGUUCCGAGUGGAAGGGCCAUCGCUCAACGGAUAAAAGCUACCCUGGGGAUAACAGGCUAAUCUCUCCCAAGAGUCCAUAUCGACGGGGAGGUUUGGCACCUCGAUGUCGGCUCAUCACAUCCUGGGGCUGGAGCAGGUCCCAAGGGUUGGGCUGUUCGCCCAUUAAAGUGGUACGUGAGCUGGGUUCAGAACGUCGUGAGACAGUUCGGUCCAUAUCCAUCGCGGGCGUAAGAGACUUGAAGGGGGCUGCUCCUAGUACGAGAGGACCGGAGUGGACGGACCAAUGGUGUACCAAUUAUCCCGCCAGGGGUACAGUUGGGUAGCUACGUCCGGAAAGGAUAAACGCUGAAAGCAUCUAAGCGUGAAACCAGCCUUGAGAUGAGGUCUCCCGAAGCGUAAGCUUGAAAGACACCUUAAAGAAGAUGAGGUUGAUAGGCCAGGAGUAGAAGUUCAGUAAUGAAUGUAGCGGACUGGUACUAAUAAGUCGAGAACUUAACUUA
rnacentral:rRNA from 1 species